rnacentral:rRNA from 1 species
GAGUUUGAUCGUGGCUCAGAGUGAACGCUGGCGGCAGGCCUAACACAUGCAAGUCGAACGGCAGCAUCAAGAGAGCUUGCUCUCUUGGAUGGCGAGUGGCGGACGGGUGAGGAAUACAUCGGAAUCUGCCUAUUUGUGGGGGAUAACCUCGGGAAACCGGGACUAAUACCGCAUACGACCUACGGGUGAAAGCGGAGGACCUUCGGGCUUCGCGCAGAUAGAUGAGCCGAUGUCGGAUUAGCUAGUUGGCGGGGUAAUGGCCCACCAAGGCGACGAUCCGUAGCUGGUCUGAGAGGAUGAUCAGCCACACUGGAACUGAGACACGGUCCAGACUCCUACGGGAGGCAGCAGUGGGGAAUAUUGGACAAUGGGCGCAAGCCUGAUCCAGCCAUGCCGCGUGGGUGAAGAAGGCCUUCGGUUGU